rnacentral:rRNA from 1 species
GACGAACGCUGGCGGCGUGCCUAAUACAUGCAAGUAGAACGCACAGUCUAUACCGUCGCUUGCUUCACCAUAGCCUGUGAGUUGCGAACGGGUGAGUAACGCGUAGGUAACCUGCCUGGUAGCGGGGGAUAACUAUUGGAAACGAUAGCUAAUACCGCAUAAUAUAUAUUAUUGCAUGAUAAUUGAUUGAAAUGUGAAAUUGCACCACUCCCAGACGGACCUGCGUUGGAUUAGCUAGUAGGGGAGGUAACGGGUCACCUAGGGGACGAUACAUAGCCGAACUGAGAGGGUGAUCGGCCACACUGGGACUUGGACACGGCCCAGAACCCCUCCGGGAGGCGCAGUAGGGGAACUUCGGCAAUGGGCGGAAGUCUGACCGAGCAACGCCGGGUGGGGUGAGAAAGGUUUCGGGUCGGAAAGCUCCGUUGUAUGGGAAGAACGGGUGUUAGGGUUGAAAGUUCACAUUUUGACGGUAUCUAACCAGAAAGCGACGGCUAACUACGUG